GGAGAUACAUUCUGCUCCUUAGCCCAGGAAAUGCUGAAGCCACUUUCCUGGGGUCACCACUGGAAUCCUCAGUGAUCCCUUGCCAGUUGGGCUUACUCUUGCUCUCAGGGUCCAUCCUCCAGACACCUAGAGACCACCCCUAGGAAUUCACAUUUCUGGAGAGAGUUCCCAUUCUUGUUUUCAAGGAAGGCUUCACAUGCGCUAAUAUAGCCUGAUGCACAUGGAGUUGGCUGUACUCAAGAGAGCAAGGUCUCUUGACUAUGUCUUUGCGCUCUCACUAGUUUGCAAGGUCUGUGAAGGCUGCAGGCACUUUUUCAUCUUUGUGUGUGUGGCUCCCAUCACAGCACCUACAACAUGGAAGACUCUCCCAACUUGCCUGUUAAAUGUUGAUAAUCAUCAAAUUUCAUUACGGACUGUUCAAGAGGCCAGGAAAUCACUAAACCCCAUGGGCUGGCAGCUUCUGAAGCCACCGCCAAGACUUCCACUGGGAUAUGCUUACCCAUCUGUGGGCUGCUAUGCUGGCACUGCCCAGUAACAGAUGUGGAGAGCCUGGAAGACCCGAAGCGGGGCGCCCCCACCCAUCAGGGGACCCAUGAGGAGGGGCACCCGGGUGGCUCAGUGGUUGGCCAUAUGCCUUCAGCUCAGGUUGCCAUCCCAGAGUCCUGGGAUUGAGUCCCACAUCGGGCUCCCUGCGAGGAGCCUGCUUCUCCAUCUGCCUAUGUCUGCCUUUCUCUCUGUGUCUCUCAUGAAUAAAUAAAAUUUAAAAAAAAAGGAAACCCACAAGUAACCCAAGGCACCCCCAGACCAUCCAGACCCACUGAGGAGCCUGUAGCCACCUGCCUCUUUGCGGGGGCGGGGGGGGGGUUCCUUGAGACUGCUUUGUACAUUUUCCUCUUUUUCUCAAUUCCCACAGAAGGGAAAUUCUUCCUCCCAUAUGUUCCUGGUUUGUCUAUUGGAGAAGGACCAGGUUUAGGGGUGGCUGUGGGGAUGCUGUUUCUAGGCAGGACUCUUGGUCACCUGGCUUUGCUGGUGGGGGGGCACCCAGACAUCAGAGCCACAGAGGUCAGGACGACCCCUGGUCAAACUUGCUCUCAAGUACUGGGCCUCCAAGAGGUCCAGCAGCCAGCAGCCCCAAGGACUCCAUUCAGCCAGGGAACUUUCCUGCUCCACUGUGCUGGCCCUUCUCUCCAACUUCAUCUCAGGGGCCCACGGAUCACUUCAAGUUGUUAUGCUGCAUCUAUAGUAUCUAUAGCAUCUCUCACUUUCUUUUUUUUAAAGAGAUAAAUUAAGGGAAGAACUUUCUUUUUUAAGAUUAUUUAUUUAUUCCGGGGGCGGGGGGCAGAGA